rnacentral:rRNA from 1 species
GGGCUGGAACCUCUCGGGGUUACAGCCUUGCUGAAUUAUUCACCCUUGUCUUUUGCGUACUUCUUGUUUCCUUGGUGGGUUCGCCCACCACUAGGACAAACAUAAACCUUUUGUAAUUGCAAUCAGCGUCAGUAACAAAUUAAUAAUUACAACUUUCAACAACGGAUCUCUUGGUUCUGGCAUCGAUGAAGAACGCAGCGAAAUGCGAUAAGUAGUGUGAAUUGCAGAAUUCAGUGAAUCAUCGAAUCUUUGAACGCACAUUGCGCCCUUUGGUAUUCCAAAGGGCAUGCCUGUUCGAGCGUCAUUUGUACCCUCAAGCUUUGCUUGGUGUUGGGCGUCUUGUCUCUAGCUUUGCUGGAGACUCGCCUUAAAGUAAUUGGCAGCCGGCCUACUGGUUUCGGAGCGCAGCACAAGUCGCACUCUCUAUCAGCAAAGGUCUAGCAUCCAUUAAGCCUUUUUUUCAACUUUUGACCUCGGAUCAGGUAGGGAUACCCGCUGAACUUAAGCAUAUCAAUAA